rnacentral:tRNA from 1 species
CAGGGGUAUAGCUCAACUGGCAGAGCCUCGGUCUCCAAAACCGAAGGUUGGGGGUUCGAUUCCCUCUGCCCCUGCCCA